UUCGUUUUCUUUCGAUUGAUAAAAAUGAGAAGAUGAGACAAUUUGUAAUAUUUUGCUUUGUUUUCUCUGUUGCAGACAAUUCCCCGGCAGGCAAAAGGGCUUCAGACACCCUGACAGGCCUUCACUCGUCAUGCCGUCAGCAGGUGGUCCAAAUCCUCCUAGCAAGGAGGAAAGCUUAGACCUCAUGGGCCAAUACAAACCUGAAAUUUUCUGCUAAAAGGUAAAUUCACUUUGAAAAAAGAAGAAGAAAAAGCCUGGCUUUACUGUUUGCUUGCAUGAUCAUAAUUUUCUCCAAUCUUCUUUUGUUCUUGCACCUCUUUAACCGGGUCAAUUUUUGGUAGUUGGAAGGUUCAGAAUGUUACAAUUUUUCUUCUUAACCUUCUUUUUGCAUCAGGCAUCACGCAACACGCACUUAACUUGGCUGCCUAUGAAAGUCUUUUCACAUUCCAAGUCUCUUCUCACAUUUUAAGUGUUCAUCUAGCACAGUAGAAAUUCUGUUCUUCUAAAGAAACACUUUUAUCAUCUGAACGUUAUGCACGCUCUCGUUGUAAACAUGAAAGAUAAAAAUCUCCCUAUUCAAAUGUCUCAUUUGCAAAUGUUUGAUAGUUGAGAAUAGUGGUUGGCGCUUACUUCUACAUGCUUAGUUUAUAAUUUGAAUGACACUUUAUCAUUCCCUCGAGUUAAUAGGAUUUCAUGAGUUGCUUCCACAAGAUCAAAAAAUAUAUUCAAAUUGGAAUAACUGGUUAACGUUUACAGGAACGUGCUCUUAAAGGUUCAAUACUAGUGGCUUAAGGUAGAUUUGCAAUUUUGUUUCGUUUCAAGUAAGUGUAAUAAUACUCCCGGGUUGAUAUGAACUUUUUCUUACCGAUUUUCUUACCAUUGAAAAUUGGUAAGAAAAGUCUAAUAUCAACCUGAUAAUAAGGGUGCCGAUAAAGUGAAUCAACUGAGUGAUAAUAAUAUUCCAACUCGCACAAAACUUCCCUCUUCCUUUUCUCUCACAAACUUGGGAUAGGAACCUGAAGGUGAUGCCUUUUAGGCAUUCGUUCUGCCUCGGUUACUUUUGAGUAUAUUUUGCGAACAUAAUAUCCUAGCUAUGACGUAUCACCUACCGAAGGGAAGUGAUAUUGAGUGAAACGGUUAUCAUCUCGAAAACCACUAUACUUACGCAGGAACAUUGUUGAAUAUCUCGAAGGGAAAACAUCUUAUGUGUAAAGAGACAGUAUAGAAGAAAAUCAUAGAAUGCGUUAGUUAGAAGAAUUUAAAAUUCAUCACAACAACUCCAAUGAACAACUCUUAAAAAUAAAUGAAAAUUCGGAUAUCAUAGGAAAAAUGUACUCAAUAUAUAAUUAGCAAUUAUAAACAGACAGAUCGAUAUUGAGAUAGACACAGGUAGAUAUUGACUAGAGUGGGAAUGCUCUUGUUAAGAAGUGCCUCUGCCUGUAAUCUUUGAGAUGUACUUCCUUCUUCACCUGUUUAUCUCACCUGUCCUAUUUACGUAACUCAUCACCCAAUUACUCAUCUCAUGUCAAUUUAG
rnacentral:lncRNA from 1 species